UACGUAGGGGGGCAAGCGUUGUCCGGAUUUAUUGGGCGUAAAGAGCGUGUAGGCGGCCAGACAGGUCAGCUGUGAAAACUCGAGGCUCAACCUCGAGACGUCGGUUGAAACCGUCUGGCUAGAGUCCGGAAGAGGAGAGUGGGAUUCCCGGUGUAGCGGUGAAAUGCGCAGAUAUCGGGGAAGAACACCCGUGGCGAAGGCGGCUCUCUGGGACGGUACUGGACGCUGAGACGCGAAAGCGUGGGGAGCGAACAGG
rnacentral:rRNA from 1 species